rnacentral:lncRNA from 1 species
GUGUUGCUGGGGGACCGCUGGAGAUGGGAGUGCAAGAGCAUAAGAAAGAUGUAGCUGGGGGAGAGAUGAGCACAGCGCUGGUGAGAGGCGCCUAUGAGGAUGACAGGAAUAGGUUGGUAUGAGGCCAAGGUUGUUGGGGGGGUAGAGAGGGAGAGGCCCGUCGCCGUGGCCGGGGCCCUUGAAGUUUUUUGCAGACGAGAUGAGGAGUGCCUUUUCAAUGACCAUCCCAUAAAGGAGUUGCCUCCCUCCUGGAGGUGUCUCUUGGGAGGGCCUCCCCAUGUGCAGGACCAGGGCUGGUGUACUAUUGUUGGGCUUUGGGUGUUUAUUUGUCUUCAACUGUAUUAAUCACUGUG